GACGUAGGGUGCAAGCGUUGUCCGGAUUUAUUGGGCGUAAAGAGCUCGUAGGCGGCUCGUCGCGUCGACCGUGAAAACCCGCAGCUUAACUGUGGGCUUGCGGUUGAUACGGGCGGGCUAGAGUUCGGUAGGGGAGACUGGAAUUCCUGGUGUAGCGGUGAAAUGCGCAGAUAUCAGGAGGAACACCGGUGGCGAAGGCGGCAUCCUGGACCGGUAUUGACGCUGAGGCGCGAAAGCCAGGGGAGCAAACGGG
rnacentral:rRNA from 1 species